rnacentral:rRNA from 1 species
AAACCAACMGGGAUUGCCCCAGUAACGGCGAGUGAAGCGGCAAGAGCUCAAAUUUGAAAUCUGGCCUCCCCCGGGGGUCCGAGUUGUAAUUUGCAGAGGAUGCUUCGGGCGCGGCCCCCGUCUAAGUUCCUUGGAACAGGACGUCAGAGAGGGUGAGAAUCCCGUCUUGGGCGGGCGGCCCGCGCCCGUGUGAAGCUCCUUCGACGAGUCGAGUUGUUUGGGAAUGCAGCUCUAAGCGGGUGGUAAAUUUCAUCUAAAGCUAAAUACCGGCCGGAGACCGAUAGCGCACAAGUAGAGUGAUCGAAAGGUUAAAAGCACCUUGAAAAGGGAGUUAAACAGCACGUGAAAUUGUUGAAAGGGAAGCGCUUGCGGCCAGACUCGGGGGGCGGGGUUCAGCGGGCGCUCGUCGCCCGUGCACUGCCCGCUCCCCGGGCCAGCAUCAGCUUCGACGGCCGGUCAAAGGCCCCCGGAAUGUGUCGUCUCUAGGGACGUCUUAUAGCCGGGGGUGCAAUGCGGCCCGUCGAGACUGAGGAACGCGCUCCGGCUCGGAUGCUGGCGUAAUGGCCGUAAGCGGC